UACGUAGGGUGCGAGCGUUAAUCGGAAUUACUGGGCGUAAAGUGUGCGCAGGCGGCCGCGCAAGUCGAGUGUGAAAGCCCCGAGCUUAACUUGGGAAUUGCGCUCGAAACUACGUGGCUGGAGUGUGGCAGAGGAAGGUGGAAUUCCACGUGUAGCGGUGAAAUGCGUAGAGAUGUGGAGGAACACCGAUGGCGAAGGCAGCCUCCUGGGCCAAUACUGACGCUCAUGCACGAAAGCGUGGGGAGCAAACAGG
rnacentral:rRNA from 1 species